CGCAGAUGAUGUUUUUGAAUAUUUGCUAUCUUAACAGCAUUGAAGACAACUCCACCAAGAUCGCUGAUGCA